rnacentral:SRP_RNA from 13 species
GCCGGGUGCGGUGGCAUGUGCCUGUAAUCCAAGUCACUGGGAGGCUGAGGUUGGUGGAUCAAGUGAGCUGAGGAGCUCUGGGCUGCAGCACGUUAUGUCGAACGGGUGUCCACGCUAAGUUCGGUAUCGAUAUGGUGUUCCUGGGGGAGCCCGGGACCACCAGGUUGUCUAAGGAGGGGUGAACCGGCCCAGGUCGGAAACGAAGCAGGUCAAAUCCCCCGUGCUGUCCAGUAGUGGGAUAAUACCUGUGAGUAGAUGCUGCAGUGCAGCCUUGGCAAAACAUCGAGACCUAAUCUUUU